GCCCGGCUAGCUCAAUCGGUAGAGCGUGAGACUCUUACUUGGAGAAAUCCCCACCAUCUCAAGGUUGUGGGUUCGACCCCCACGUCGGGCU
rnacentral:tRNA from 1 species